GUCUGUAUGAGAGUUAUAUAAAGUCUGGCCUGCCCAUUGGGAACUAAAAGGCCGCGGUAUUGUGACCGUGCGAAGGUAGCAUAAUCAUUAGUCUUUUAAUUGGAGGCUGGAAUGAAUGGCUGGACGAGAAGUAAGCUGUCUUUAUCUCAGAAGUUGAAUUUAACUUUUAAGUGAAAAGGCUUAAAUGAAUUAGAGGGACGAUAAGACCCUAUAAAGUUUAAACACUGAGUUAGUUAAGAGUGAUUUAGAGUAGUAAGGUUUAUUAUUAGUUAGGUGUUUGGUUGGGGCGACUAGAAUAUAAGUUAUAUAACUGUUUUUUAUUUGAAUCAGAGAUAUCUGUUCACAUGAUCCCUUUUUAGGAUUAAAGAGUAAAUUACUUUAGGGAUAACAGCGUAAUUUUUUUUGAGAGUUCUUAUCGACAAAAGAGUUUGCGACCUCGAUGUUGAAUUAAAAUUUCUUUGUGGCGUAGCAGUUACAAAAGAAGGUCUGUUCGACCUUUAAAUUUUUACAUGAUUUGAGUUCAGACCGGCGUGAG
rnacentral:rRNA from 1 species